rnacentral:rRNA from 1 species
CCUACGGGAGGCAGCAGUGGGGAAUCUUGCGCAAUGGGCGAAAGCCUGACGCAGCAACGCCGCGUGCGGGAAGAAGGCUUUCGGGCUGUAAACCGCUUUCAGCAGGAACGAAAAUGACGGUACCUGCAGAAGAAGGAGCGGCCAACUAUGUGCCAGCAGCCGCGGUGAUACAUAGGCUUCAAGCGUUGUCCGGAUUUAUUGGGCGUAAAGAGUUCGUAGGCGGUCGAGUAAGUCGGGUGUGAAAAUUCUGGGCUCAACCCAGAGACGCCACCCGAUACUGCUUAACUUGAGUUCGAUAGGGGAGUGGGGAAUUCCUAGUGUAGCGGUGAAAUGCGCAGAUAUUAGGAGGAACACCGGUGGCGAAGGCGCCACUCUGGAUCGAUACUGACGCUGAGGAACGAAAGCAUGGGUAGCAAACAGGAUUAGAUACCCUGGUAGUCCAUGCCGUAAACGGUGGGCACUAGGUGUGGGAUUCUAUUAACGAAUUCCGNGCCGUCGCUAACGCAUUAAGUGCCCCGCCUGGGGAGUCGGUCGCAAGCUAAACUCAAANAGUAAUGAGNGNGUAGAGUUGCGAGCGACGACGAGGGAGAGG